AUUGAACGCUGGCGGCAGGCCUAACACAUGCAAGUCGAGCGGGGUUUUCGGACCUAGCGGCGGACGGGUGAGUAAUGCGUAGGAAGCUACCCGAUAGAGGGGGAUACCAGUUGGAAACGACUGUUAAUACCGCAUAAUGUCUACGGACCAAAGUGUGGGACCUUCGGGCCACAUGCUAUCGGAUGCGCCUACGUGGGAUUAGCUAGUUGGUGAGGUAAUGGCUCACCAAGGCGACGAUCCCUAUCUGGUUUGAGAGGAUGAUCAGCCACACUGGAACUGAGACACGGGCCAGACUCCUACGGGAGGCAGCAGUGGGGAAUAUUGGACAACGGGCGCAAGCCUGAUCCAGCCAUGCCGCGUGUGUGAAGAAGGCCUUCGGGUUGUAAAGCACUUUCAGUAGGGAGGAAGCGUUGUGUGUUAAUAGUACACAGCGUUGACGUUACCUACAGAAGAAGCACCGGCUAACUCUGUGCCAGCAGCCGCCGUAACAC
rnacentral:rRNA from 1 species